rnacentral:rRNA from 1 species
UAGAGUUUGAUCAUGGCUCAGGACGACCCUUUGAGGCGUGCUUAACACAUGCAAGUCACGGGGGCCCGCAACGUUAACCGGCGAACGGGUGCGUAACACGUGAGCAAUCUGCCGUGAUCUGGGGGAUAGCCGGCCCAACGGCCGGGUAAUACCGCAUACGCUCGUUGAGUGGCAUCACUUGACGAGGAAACCUCCGGGGGAUCACGAGGAGCUCGCGGCCUAUCAGCUAGUUGGUGGGGUAACGGCCUACCAAGGCAAUGACGGGUAGCUGGUCUGAGAGGAUGGCCAGCCACAUUGGGACUGAGAUACGGCCCAGACUCCUACGGGAGGCAGCAGUGGGGAAUAUUGCGCAAUGGCCGAAAGGCUGACGCAGCGACGCCGCGUGGGGGAUGAAGCAUUUCGGUGUGUAAACCCCUGUUGCUCGGGACGAACAAGCGAUUUCGAUCGCUCUGACGGUACCGGGUGAGGAAGCACCGGCUAACUCCGUGCCAGCAGCCGCGGUAAUA